rnacentral:rRNA from 1 species
GAUGAACGCUGGCGGCGUGCCUAAUACAUGCAAGUCGAGCGAACGGACGAGAAGCUUGCUUCUCUGAUGUUAGCGGCGGACGGGUGAGUAACACGUGGAUAACCUACCUAUAAGACUGGGAUAACUUCGGGAAACCGGAGCUAAUACCGGAUAAUAUUUUGAACCGCAUGGUUCAAAAGUGAAAGAUGGUCUUGCUGUCACUUAUAGAUGGAUCCGCGCUGCAUUAGCUAGAUGGUAAGGUAACGGCUUACCAAGGCAACGAUGCAUAGCCGACCUGAGAGGGUGAUCGGCCACAAUGGAACUGAGACACGGUCCAGACUCCUACGGGAGGCAGCAGUAGGGAAUCUUCAGCAAUGGGCGAAAGCCUGACGGAGCAACGCCGCGUGAGUGAUGAAGGUCUUCGGAUCGUAAAACCCUGUUAUUAGGGAAGAACAUAUGUGUAAGUACCUGUGCACAUCUUGACGGUACCUAAUCAGAGAGCCACGGCUAACUACGUG